UACGUAGGGUGCGAGCGUUGUCCGGAAUUAUUGGGCGUAAAGGGCUCGUAGGCGGUUUGUCGCGUCGGGAGUGAAUCCACUGGCUUAACUGGUGGCUUGCUUUCGAUACGGGCAGACUGGAGGUAUGCAGGGGAGAACGGAAUUCCUGGUGUAGCGGUGAAAUGCGCAGAUAAUCAGGAGGAACACCGGUGGCGAAGGCGGUUCUCUGGGCAUGUCCUGACGCUGAGGAGCGAAAGUGUGGGGAGCGAACAGG
rnacentral:rRNA from 1 species